rnacentral:rRNA from 1 species
CCUANGGGGGGCUGCAGUCGAGAGGCUUUGGCAAUGGGGGAAACCCUGACCAAGCGACGCCGCGUGGAGGAUGAAGGCCCUUGGGUUGUAAACUCCUUUUGUUGGGGAAGAAGUGCGAUCAGGUGAACAAUCUGGUCGUUUGACGGUACCCAGCGAAUAAGCUCCGGCUAACUCCGUACCAGCAGCCGCGGUAACACGGGGGGAGCAAGCGUUGUUCGGAAUCACUGGGCGUAAAGGGCGUGUAGGCGGUCAGGUAAGUGGAAUGUGAAAUGCCCCGGCUCACCCGGGGACCGGCAUCCCAAACUGCCUGGCUUGAGUAUGGGAGAGGAUGGAGGAAUUCCUGGUGUAGCGGUGAAAUGCGUAGAUAUCAGGAGGAACACCGGUGGCGAAGGCGUCCAUCUGGCCCAAUACUGACGCUGAGGCGCGAAAGCUAGGGGAGCGAACGGGAUUAGAUACCCUGNUANUC